AACGAACGCUGGCGGCAUGCCUAACACAUGCAAGUCGAACGAGACCUUCGGGUCUAGUGGCGCACGGGUGCGUAACGCGUGGGAACCUGCCCUUAGGUUCGGAAUAACUCCCCGAAUGGGGUGCUAUCACCGGAUAAUGUCUUCGAACCAAGGAUUUAACGCCCUUGGAUGGUCCCGCGUUGAAUUAGCUAGUUGGUAGGGUAAAAGCCUACCAAGGAGACGAUCCAUAGCUGGCCCGAGAGGAUGAUCAGCCACACUGGGACUGAGACACGGCCCAGACUCCUACGGGAGGCAGGAGUGGGGGAUAUUGGACAAUGGGCGAAGGCCUGAUCCAGCAAUGCCGCGUGAGUGAUGAAGGCCUUGGGGUUGUAAAGCUCUUUUACCCGGGAUGAUAAUGACAGUACCGGGAGAAUAAGCGCCGGCUAACUCCGUG
rnacentral:rRNA from 1 species